rnacentral:rRNA from 1 species
CUACGGGCCGCAGCAGUGGGGAAUAUUGCACAAUGGAGGAAACUCUGAUGCAGCAACGCCGCGUGGAGGAUGACACUUUUCGGAGCGUAAACUCCUUUUAUAUAGGAAGAUAAUGACGGUACUAUAUGAAUAAGCACCGGCUAACUCCGUGCCAGCAGCCGCGGUAAUACGGAGGGUGCAAGCGUUACUCGGAAUCACUGGGCGUAAAGAGCGUGUAGGCGGGUUAAUAAGUCAGAAGUGAAAUCCUAUGGCUCAACCAUAGAACUGCUUUUGAAACUGUUAACCUAGAAUAUGGGAGAGGUAGAUGGAAUUUCUGGUGUAGGGGUAAAAUCCGUAGAGAUCAGAAGGAAUACCGAUUGCGAAGGCGAUCUACUGGAACAUUAUUGACGCUGAGACGCGAAAGCGUGGGGAGCAAACAGGAUUAGAUACCCUCGUAGUC